rnacentral:rRNA from 1 species
ACCGGCAGCUCAAGUGGUGGCCAUUUUUAUUGGGCCUAAAGCGUUCGUAGCCGGUUUGAUAAGUCUCUGGUGAAAUCCCGCAGCUUAACUGUGGGACUUGCUGGAGAUACUAUUAGACUUGAGGUCGGGAGAGGUUAGGGGUACUCCCAGGGUAGGGGUUAAAUCCUAAUAACCUUGGGGGAACACCUGGGGCGAAGGCCGCUAACGGGAACGAACCUGACGGUGAGUAACGAAAGCCAGGGGCGCGAACCG